GCCCCGCCCACCAGAUGACCCGCCCUCUCGUGGUGUGUUAGGAACCUGCGGGCCUUCCCGGCACUGGAGCUGGCGCCUAGCUGCCGCGAUUUGCAUAUUUAUUGCCCUGCUGCUGUACUCAGAGUGUUAAGGACUCCGCUGUCCUCUUGAGCCUUGUGAAAAGUCCUUGGCCACCAGGCUGCCCCAGAUUUUACUGAUUAACUCUGCCCGACCUAAAUUCCUUAAAGGGCGGCUCUUCGUGUAUUUUAAGGGAUUAUUAACAGUCCAAAGGGAACGGUGCUUACAUAGUGAAUACAUUUAAAGAUAAACUUUCCGAGCUCCGUAGAAGUGAGAAGAUCGCAAUCUGGGAAUUUAAAACGCGGAGGUUAAGAGAAAUGCCUGUAUAAUAAAAGGAUAUUCGAGACAGUGUCAUCUCAAGGUUAAAGACAGCUGCUGGCUGCCAUGACCUGAAACACCAGAGCACAAGAGGAAUGGAGAGGUAGCAGCCAAGUUCCUGGGUGAUCUCUGCCUAGUCCUACGAAAGGUUACCCAACUCUGAAAAUUGAACCUCAGGAAAUAAUCCGACAUAAUAAAACCAUUAUAAGAAAUACCUGAGAAUCACAUUGAUGAAUCAUAUGAUCAUAUGAUCUUUGCUAUGGAUGCAGCUUCUUUGGAGGAGUUUGGUUCACAUGGCCUCCUUACAGAUGGAAGUCCUUUUAGGCAUCUGUUUCCAGAAGAGGGAGGCAUCAUCUGUAUUGAAGAUUCCCUCUGGCAAGAUCGUAGCUGUGGAAUGGGCUAUGCCUGACUAUGGAGAAGCAACCAUCACUGAUUUCCCACCCUUUUAGUCCUUAAUCACCUUUAAUUUUGUUUACAGGUCAAUCACUCAACAAAGGCUCUUAUUCACAACAUUAGCAGUGAGUGGAUUUUUAUGCUAAGAAGCUGUGAUGAGCAAAACAAAAUCAAGCACAGGAUAAAACGAUGCAAUCAAGAGAUAGGGUAAACACAAGGUGUACAAGGCUGCUACUGGUAUCACACAGCAGACUGUUUACUGAACUUGUUUUUCUAAGUAGGAGUACAAUCUGGAAUAACGGUGAUAGAGUACAGUAAGCCAGGAACACAGCCAUUAUGGUUAUCUAGUAUUAUGUACAAUAUGCGUCAUCACCUGGCUUCACCUGUAUCCAGCUGGCAGCACAGAAACAUCAUCUACACCAGCAGCACACAUGCACAUGAGGAAUGAGCUGCACUAUGAUGUCACGCCAGCUAUGGUGGCCCUCGGUGAUAGGAAUCUUCAGCUCCAUUUUAAUCUAAUGGGGUCAGCACCAUAGAUGUGAUCUGUCAUUGACUAAAGUGUUGUUAUGGGUGCUUUAACAAGUUAAUUAAUGCUUCUUACACCUUUUCUAAACAUACUCCUGACCAGUCUGUCUCUGAUAUUAACACGGACACAAAAACCUUCAUACCUGUCGCAGUUGGGGUUUGCAAGAGAAUAGAUUUAAUACAGAACACAUAAAUUAUAGGGUUUUAUAAUAUUCACCCAAAAAGCCAAGU